GAGGAGGUCUGCCUCUCAGUCCCACCCCUAUUUCAAGUGUGGCUGGUGGGAAUGAGAGAGGGGGCCUUCUCUGUGAUCACUCCCCAUCUCUGAAACUCUUUCCCCAAAGAAAUAAAAGCGACCCCACACUCCUGUGAGAAAAUUAAAGAAUUUUGGAAGACUGUUCAUGAAAUGACACAAGAAAUUGUAGGAAUUAAAUUUAAAUCAGAACCAGAAAUGUAUUUAUUAAGUUUUACGAACACAAAAUUUAAGAAAAAUGAAGAUAAAAUAUUUUUUUAUUUAAGCACAGCGGCAAGCUUAACAAUUGCAAAGAUCUGGAAAGGAAAAAGACUCCUAACCCCCGAAGAAUGGAUAAUAAGAAUACUAGACAUAGUACAAAUGGAUAAGUUAACACAAAAAAUAAGAGAAGGGAAAAACAAAACAGACUGGACAAACUUUAUAAAAUUUCUAACAAAAAGAAGAAUGGAUUUUAUGACAGACCUGUCUAAUAUAUAAAGUAGAUUAAACGAAAUUCAUAAAGACACAAUUAAUGAAAGAGACAACUCCGAAGCCAAGAUGGGAAGUAUAACCCGCUUUCCCCCCCUCUUUUCUUUUUCUUUCUUUUUCUUUUUCUGAUCUUUUUUUUACCUCUAUUUCUAUGUUUUUUCCCCCUUGAUACUUUCCCACUUUUCUAUUGAUAUAUUGUUUCACCACUUUCAAUGUAUCAUGUUUCACUAUAAUAAAAAUAAAAAUUAUUCACAAAAAAAACUCUUGAAAACACAUUUAUGCACUUUAGUGUAUGGAGAGGAGGAAGAUUAGGUCACUUUAAAUUAUUUCAUCAGAUUGCUGACUAAUCUUAUUUCUACUUCAUGGUGGCUACGACUCAUUUUAUGUGAGCAUCUGUAAAAGUCAUUUCUAAUGUAUUUUAAUUAUUUUACAGGGUAUAUGUUUUAAUGUUAACUCAUGUUAUUAAUGUUAUCAUGUCUUAUUGGUUUAUUUUAUUUUAUUUAUAUUUCAAUGAUUAAUUCUUUGUUAUAAGCUUACUGUUAUUAUUGUAUAUUACUUUGGUUUUUUGAUGUGUUUGUAUUUAUUCUGGGCAUUGAAUGUUUGCCUUUUUUAUGUGUAAGUUUCCCUGAGUCCAGGGAGAGAGGGUGGUCUAGAAAUAAAUUAACGUCGUCGUCGUCGUCGUCAUCAUCAUCAUCAUCAUCAUCAUCAUCAUCAUCAUCAUCAUCAUCAUCAUCAUCAUAUAGAACAUUUCAUAAGAAUGAACCCAAUACAGAAAAGUCCCUGUAUCUCACAGUUAUCAAUGUAGUAAGUCUUAGCAGAGAUAAGACAUCUGUGGGCAGGUGCCUAUGAGUGUAGGUGGUCCUUCGUAUUGGUGCAUUUAGGGUUUUAAAGAUGGCAGCCAUCAAUUUCAGUUGGAAUCAGAAACACACUAGCAACUAGUGCAGUUAGCAAAGAAUUGAUGUUAAGAAACUUCCCCCCACUGCGCAGCUGGGGGAGGGAAGUGGAUUUGCCCCCUCCCAACGAAGGAGAGACUUCUAGAUGGGGGCAGGGCUUAUAGGAAGCUGCCCGCCUCUUAGAUCACUCACUUUUGGAGCUUCGACGUGAGAGGAUCCAAAAGUGGGAGCUCUGGUUCUCUGGUGUGGAGGCCUGGGAGAUAGGCGUCGAGGGAGAAUUCUGUCUCAUCUGUUUGUAUUGCAGCAUUGAGGUCUGUAUGGGAAUAUGGAGAGGCUGAGGCAAGGGAGCCUGGGCUCACCCGGGCUGCCUUCGGGCUUCUCCCUCGACAAAGCAGAUUUUGUUAAGUUUAAAGUUGCCUUCUUCCCCCUUUUGCCUGAGGGUUUUGGAGCGGUGGUGGGUGCGCACGGGGUCUGCGCGCCUCUGCUCCGCUCCUCCCUUGCUUCAUUCAGGUGGCCUUGCAGCCCCCUUUUGCGGUGGGGAAAAAGUAGCUAGCUUUGGCCUGGUUGGGGGAAAAGGCAUGAUAGUGUGAUUUGCAUGCUUUUUGAAGUGGAUUUAUUUUCUUUAUAGUGUAAUAGUAGUUUUGAUUAGUGGUAUUGAGCCUGUAUGUAUUUAGCUGGGUUAUGGUUCAUUUUUACAUUGGACGGGACGCGUUUUUUAAGGUCGUUAUUUAAGGGCUAACACUUGGAAGAGGUGUUGCUAGGCAGAUUUGGGAGCGAUGUGGGGUGCGAUUUUGACCUGUUGCUGGGCAGAUUUGUAAGACGGUUAAGUUUGGCGGGCUUUUUGAAUUUCGCACUCUUUUUUCUGUCAGUUUUGCUGCGGUUUUUUCUGGGGCGGCCAUAUUGGAUGCCAUUUUGCUUAAGGGCAAGUCGGCCAUUUUACUUCAGGGCAUUUGCAAGUUAAAUGGGUAUGGCGGCCAUUUUUAUUGAGGGAAUGAGGUACUAGAUGGUUGGGCGGCCAUGUUAGUUGUGGGAAUGUCAAUAGGCUUAGAGGUGGCCAUUUUGGUCCGUCGGCCAUCUUUGUUGAGGGCAUGGUGGCCAAAUGGUCAAAUGGUUUCGGCAGCCAUCUUUAUUAAGGGAAUUAUGUCAGGAAUGAACGGGCGGCCAUCUUAGUAGUUGGCAUGGUAAAUAGGCUUGAAGGCGGCCAUUUUUAGUAUGGCAGCCAUCUUUGUUAAGGGAACGGCGGCCAUUUUAGGGAACAUCAUGGCAGCCAUUUUGUGGAAGUUUUUAAUGGGUUUUUUAAUGGCGGUGGCCAUUUUUAAUUUGGGCAUGCUCACAUCGUGUUUGCUUGAUGACCAUAACAAUUGAUGGUAAUGAUUGAUUAGUGUUAAAUAGCCGAAUGCAUUAGUGGAUAAUGGAUUAUGUGGCUCAGGUAUAAAUUCAUUGAUAGCAUAUACAGCUAGAUUAAUUAAUAUGCAAUUAAGGCAGUCUGAUUGAUUGAUGAAUUGAUAUAUGGGCAUUUAAUUUAAAAUAUUUAUAUAGUUUUCAUGGGGUAAUUUAUAAUGUUAUUUGAGAUAAUAAAUUGUUGAAUUGGUGUUUCAUAAAUUUUGUAGUAUUAAGUUAAUGAAUUGAUUAUUAUAUCAUCAUGUGUAUAUAUAUAUAUAUAUAUAUAUAUAUAUAUAUAUAUAUAUAUAUAUAUGCAUAUUGGUUUAUGCUAUUAUAUAUUUGAAAUCAAAUGGAUGCUUGGUUGGUUACCUGACUCAGGAUGUUUUUGGGCACCUCCGGUUCUUUGGCUUAGAAAUGGUGUGGAGUUUGGCUCAUCCUAAUCUCCUGCCACCCCCCCCCCCCUAUUUUCGGAAAUAUUUUCUUCCUCAAUAUUGAUGCAUUCGCUGGUCUUACUGGUUGUCUUAUUUUACAGUAUGCCACCGAAGAAGAACAUCGGGGGGGCCAAAGGGCAAGGGCCCUGUGAAGAAAGUUCCUGCAAAACACCCUCCUUCCUCAAGUGCUCCGGCAGUCGAGGAAGAAGACUCAGCCCAAUUGUUGAAAGCGCUGGUCGCUCGCAUCGAGUCGCUGGAAAGAGAGAAAGCAGCGUUUGCUGCUUCGGGAGCGCAGAUUGGUGGGGGCAGUAACACUGUGCUAAUAACGUCCGUAUUUUCCUGUAUUUCUGCCUUAGAAGGGGAGAAGCGAGCCCUGGUGCCUGUCAAUGAUGAGAGCCUGGUUGCAUCAACGCCGGUGGCCGCAGGAGCUGUUCCACCUUCUUCAGAGGCAGCUGUUGAGUCAGGAAGUGCUGCGACUAUUUUAGAACCUGUUCUGUUGGCAAAUAGACGUCGCGUCCUGAUUUGUGGGCACAGCUACGUACACUGAGCUGAGCGACAGGCGCACAGGGGUCCCUACGGCCAACUUCGCAGCCUCGCUUCCAUGGCAUUCGUGGAGAGGAGGGGAGGAAGAGGCCUUUUUGUGCUGUUAAUGAUUUGGGUCUGCCAAUGGGCAGGGGCCUGUUUUAUACAAGUUUAUGAAUUAUUUGUACAGGUUCGAUUGGCAUGCACAAGGUAAAGGAAUGUUUUUCCCUCUUACACGCUUGUCAUGGCUAUGUUUUUACAGAUUCGAUUGGCAGGCACAAGCUAAAGGAGUGUGUUCCCUCUAACACGCUUGUCAUGGCCCUAUUUGUACAGGUUCGAUUGGCAUGCACAAGGUAAAGGAGUGUGUUCCCUCUAGCACGCUUGUCAUGGCCAUGUUUGUACAAUUUUUGAAUGACAUGCACAAGCUUUGAGAGGUUUGGCCUCGAACUGGCUUAGCAUGGUCAGCAAUCAUUCCUAGGCCAAUCAGGCCCUUCGAAAAGUUUUAAAGAAUGGCAUAGGUUAUUGUAUCCCUCAUGACACCAUUAAGUUCAAUGAUGUGAAUUUGUAUCGGGCUGAUGGGAUCCAUCUGUCUGAACUGGGCAACCAAAUUUUCUUAGCUGACCUGCAAUAAGGAAUUAGGGAAAUUCUUUCGAAUUUGGUGGGGGUCAGGAGCUAAAUAGACAUUUGCUCCUGAACUGUGGCGGAAUGCUUAGGGGAAUCUCUUAUUUUGGUGUGCACCACAAGGCACCUCUGUUUUGGUGUUGGCCAGAGGCGUGAAUCCUCGCUUAGGGUUUGUACAGCCCCGGCGAGGGUGAACGAUUAUGGCCUUGGAAUGGGAGACUUUGACCUCAUUUGUUUCGGAGGCAAAACUCUCCAACACAUUCCCCUUUAGGUCAUCCAGGUUUAGAUAGACUGGGGACCUGGUGUUUCGCCCUAAAUUCAGUCUUAAUGGAUGGUCGGGUAUGACCACUAAUAUCGGCUUAUGCCUUACCAAAUUCUUAGAUGGCUAAGGAUUUUUGGCCCUAGUUCCAAAUUAAAGUUAAAUAGGUAACUAUCAAUAAAGUUGCCCAGUUUUAAACCCAAGCUUACUUGUCUUGUCUCGUUAUUUCGGAGGGUUGGAGGGCAAGAAACUUCCCCCCACUGCGCAGCUGGGGGAGGGAAGUGGAUUUGCCCCCUCCCAACGAAGGAGAGACUUCUAGAUGGGGGCAGGGCUUAUAGGAAGCUGCCCGCCUCUUAGAUCACUCACUUUUGGAGCUUCGACCCACCCGCCCGCCGCUAACAGUAUAGCAGUAGUGUGGUCGCUUAGAUGGGCCGGGUAGGAAUUUUUCCCCUCCCAUGUUCUGGGAGGGUUUUUUCGCCUACCCUAUACUGUGUGGAGUGGUAAAUUGGGAGGUGUGGUAAUUUAAUUAGGUGGUCAGCGGAAUGCUUAGGGGAAUCUCUUAUUUUGGUGUGCACCACAAGGCACCUCUGUUUUGGUGUUGGCCAGAGGCGUGAAUCCUCGCUUAGGGUUUGUACAGCCCCGGCGAGGGUGAACGAUUAUGGCCUUGGAAUGGGAGACUUUGACCUCAUUUGUUUCGGAGGCAAAACUCUCCAACACAUUCCCCUUUAGGUCAUCCAGGUUUAGAUAGACUGGGGACCUGGUGUUUCGCCCUAAAUUCAGUCUUAAUGGAUGGUCGGGUAUGACCACUAAUAUCGGCUUAUGCCUUACCAAAUUCUUAGAUGGCUAAGGAUUUUUGGCCCUAGUUCCAAAUUAAAGUUAAAUAGGUAACUAUCAAUAAAGUUGCCCAGUUUUAAACCCAA